rnacentral:rRNA from 1 species
CAGUAGUUUACUACAGAAAAUGACUGAGCGGCGAACGGGUGAGUAACGCGUGAGCAAUCUACCUUAGUUACUGGGAUAGCCCGAGGAAACUCGGAUUAAUACCGGAUAUUCUUAUUUUUUCACAUGAAGUUUUAAGGAAAGGUCAGCCGAACUAAGAUGAGCUCGCGUUCUAUCAGCUAGUUGGUGGGGUAAAAGCCUACCAAGGCUACGACGGAUAGCUGGUCUGAGAGGACGAUCAGCCACACUGGGACUGAGACACGGCCCAGACUCCUACGGGAGGCUGCAGCAGGGAAUAUUGCGCAAUGAGCGAAAGCUUGACGCAGCGACACCGCGUGUGGGAUGACGGUUCUAGGAUUGUAAACCACUUUCAGGAGGGAAGAAAAUGACGGUACCUCCACAAGAAGACCCGGCCAACUACGUGCCAGCAGCCGCGGUAAUACGUAGGGGUCAAGCGUUGUCCGGAUUUAUUGGGCGUAAAGAGCUCGUAGGCGGUUCAACAAGUCGGUCGUAAAAGUUUAGGGCUCAACCCUAAAAUGUCGAUCGAUACUGUUGUGACUAGGAUACGGUAGAGGUGAAUGGAAUUCCGAGUGUAGCGGUGAAAUGCGUAGAUAUUCGGAGGAACACCAAUUGCGAAGGCAGUUCACUGGACCGUGAUCGACGCUGAGGAGCGAAAGCUAGGGGAGCAAACAGGAUUAGAUACCCUGGUAGUCCUAGCUGUAAACGAUGGAUACUAGAUGUAGGAACUGGAUUGACGGUUUCUGUAUCGUAGCUAACGCGUUAAGUAUCCCGCCUGGGGAGUACGGUCGCAAGACUAAAACUCAAAGGAAUUGACGGGACCCCGCACAAGCGGCGGAGCAUGCGGCUUAAUUCGAUGAUACCCGUAGAACCUUACCUGGACUUGACAUAUAGGGAAAAACUAAAGAAAUUUAGUGUGCGUAAGCGCCCUAUACAGGUGGUGCAUGGCUGUCGUCAGCUCGUGUCGUGAGAUGUUGGGUUAAGUCCCGCAACGAGCGCAGCCCCUGU